AAACAUCGCCUCUUGAAUUACAUAAGAGGUCCAGCCUGCCCAGUGACUCUGUUCAACGGCCGCGGUAUCCUAACCGUGCGAAGGUAGCGUAAUCACUUGUUCUUUAAUUGUGGACUAGUAUGAAUGGCACCACGAGGGUUAUACUGUCUCCUUUUUCUAAUCAGUGAAACUAAUCUCCCCGUGAAGAAGCGGGAAUAAAAAUAUAAGACGAGAAGACCCUAUGGAGCUUCAAACGGCACAGCAAUUACCACACAACACAAAUUUUUUCCGAACCACCUAAUUCUAAUGGUAACAUGACUGUGAGUUUUUGGUUGGGGUGACCGCGGAGCAUAACACAACCUCCAUGCUGAAAGAAAAAUCUCUAAGCUAAGACUCACGUGUCUAAGCAUCAGCACACUGACAUUCAUUGACCCAAUACAAUUGAGCAACGAACCAAGUUACCCUAGGGAUAACAGCGCAAUCCACUUCAAGAGCUCCUAUCGACAAGUGGGUUUACGACCUCGAUGUUGGAUCAGGGUGUCCCAGUGGUGCAGCCGCUACUAAAGGUUCGUUUGUUCAACGAUUAAUACCCUACGUGAUCUGAGUUCAGACCGGA
rnacentral:rRNA from 1 species